GACAAAUUCCGCCUUUCUGAGAAGGAUCAACUUCUCAUUUCGAUCAUGAAGAUCAGCAUCGAUAGUGUCCCAGGAGAAACCAUCAACAGGGUAAAGCAAAUGUCUUGAGGCAAGAUCCUGCCUCCCAGAGCAGGGACCAGCUUCUCUUCAGAAAGGAGCUGUGCACCUGAACAACAGAGCCUUCCUGAGACCACACUUGUAGAUGCUAAACUGGGCUGGACCAGAUCAGGGACCCUGGAGUGCACUAGAGCCUGUAAAGAAGUCUCUGGAUACAAAACUCUAUCUUCUUCCCUGAGAUCAAAGAAGCUUUGAGGAAGGAAGGAGGUUGAGAGCAGAGUUGCACCAGGCCGUUCAGAAAGGACACCUUGAGGAGAACUCCUGGCUCUGGAGGAAGUAAGGCAUGGAACCAGAGAUAACCUGGGAACUUGGGAACUUGCUGGUGUUUCAGUCUUCAGAGAGCUGCAGGAAAUAUCUGGGUACCCAGAUAUGGUGGUGGACCCACUGCACCUCCCAAUGCAUGCACCCUGAUUGCAAUUGAUAGCAUAUCAACAUGG
ensembl:lncRNA